rnacentral:piRNA from 1 species
UGGGAUGGCUAAUCACUCGUGGGUGCAGU